rnacentral:rRNA from 1 species
UACAGAGGUCCCAAGCGUUGUUCGGAUUCACUGGGCGUAAAGGGUGCGCAGGUGGUCGGGUAAGUCUGACGUGAAAUCCCGCAGCUUAACUGCGGAAUGGCAUUGGAUACUAUUCGGCUAGAGGGUUGGAGGGGGGACUGGAAUUCUCGGUGUAGCAGUGAAAUGCGUAGAUAUCGAGAGGAACACCAGUGGCGAAGGCGAGUCCCUGGACAACUCCUGACGCUGAGGCACGAAAGCUAGGGGAGCAAACAGG